rnacentral:lncRNA from 1 species
GUUGAAUAUUAUUUUUUAAAUAGUUUUGAUCCACUUAAUGAUCCACUCUCACACUCACCGCUUGACAAUCUGCAUUUGCAUGUAUGGUUUUAUAUAAGCUAAUAUAUUCUGGACAAGAUACUUUACAAUUUCAAUAAGGUAUGACUAAAUACUCUCAUAUAAGACAUCUCAGAUACGUUUACUUGUUUAUACCGUUCUUUAAUUUGAAUUUUCUCUAUCAUAUUUUUUUCCUUGACUUCUUAUUUUUAUUAUUAUUAUUUUUAUUUUUUCUAGGUAGAAGUUCUAUUGCCCCAUUCUAGCGAUGAGGAGUUGCAUGCACCAUAUUUCAUUCGGCUACCUAUUAGGGAACUCAUGUUUAAACCAAUUGCUACUUGUCAUCGUGAUUCAGCCGUUGUUGUCAAGUAAACCGAAAUAUUUGAUUCUCACUAAUAUAUUCCACGUUGAGUUCCAUGACUAUACUGUUCACUUCCUCAACCUCAUCGUCAUACAUCUCAACUGUUGAUAUGUCAAUUCUUGAAAUCAAAUCACUAAUUUUGGGAAUUUAGGAUGACAAUCUCAAGUAGGGGAAGGUGUGGAUGAAUGUAAUGAUUUGAAUGCACAAUUUAAUCACUUGUCGUAUACAACCUGGAUUCUGUGAGUGUAGAAGGCGCCGUCUCCACCACACUAACACGUAAUGCAUAGAUGGUCAUGAAUGAAAGCUGUCAUUUGUUAUUCGAAUUGGUGACAUCCCUACAUCAGCAAUGUAUUCAAUCUUGACAUCUAAAACUCUCUUGUCAACCUUUAUUUCAUCAACUAUCAUUUCAGCCAGUUGAAUGUACUUGCAACUUACAACCAAAUGGAACAAGAAGCCCAAACAUUUCUGCCCCAUACAUUACAAAGAUGUUUGUAUAAUCCAUUCUUGUAUUACAGAAUCACUGAUUAGUUUAUUAUGUAUAUAAAUAUUUAGUAAUACAAGACAAAAAGUAGCAUAUGUGUCAUCUUAUAGUUAUUCAUAUAUUUUUGGCCAAACAGAAAAUGAUG